AACGAACGCUGGCGGCAGGCCUAACACAUGCAAGUCGAGCGGCCUUUCGGGGGAGCGGCGGACGGGUGGGUAGCGCGUGGGGAUAUGCCCUUCUCUACGGAAUAGCCUCGGGAAACUGAGAGUAAUACCGUAUACGCCCUGUGGGGGAAAGGUUUAUCGGGGAAGGAUUAGCCCGCGUUGGAUUAGGUAGUGGGUGGGGUGAUGGCCUACCAAGCCGACGAUCCAUAGCUGGUUUGAGAGGAUGAUCAGCCACACUGGGACUGAGACACGGCCCAGACUCCUACGGGAGGCAGCAGUGGGGAAUCUUAGACAAUGGGGGCAACCCUGAUCUAGCCAUGCCGCGUGAGUGAUGAAGGCCUUAGGGUUGUAAAGCUCUUUCAGCUGGGAAGAUAAUGACGGUACCAGCAGAAGAAGCCCCGGCUAACUCCGUG
rnacentral:rRNA from 1 species